CGCUGUACACGUCAUCUGCCGAAAAUAUUCCUCAUUAACUAUAAUAACAGUUGGCGAAAACCUGAACUGGGCGAUAAAUAAUAAAUAUAUCGUGUUAUCAUAUUGUAUUCAAACGUGCAAAUUCAGCUUGUGUUUAUUCCGUGACUAAUAGUUCUCAAAAUUAACUAUAAAUUCGCCCCCAAAAGGCAAGACCUUGUGUCCUUGACCUUUGAAAGAGUGCUUAAUGUAUUCACAAUAAAUAAUGGAGACAAUUUUCAUUAUAAUAAUCAUUUUCAAAGAAUUUGUU